GACGAGAAGUAAAUUAAACUUAAAUAAAUUACAGAAUUGACAAAAGCAUGAAAUUAAGGUGAAAUGAUAGGUGAUGGACUAGCUAGAGGGUUCUUCUCCACACAUGACACAAAUGCAACCUAAAUUGAUUUUCAGUUGUUCUUUCAAUAAAUUGUAAAUCUCAACGCCCCGAAUUAACCGUGAAUUGCACUAAUUAACCCUCAGUUUUUCCACAAGUUAUUGGGUUGGAUGAUUGCAUACGACAA
rnacentral:lncRNA from 1 species